CCCAGCCUCUCGUUUUACUGCCUCAUUUCCAUCACCACUUUACUUCUGCUAUUGUACCGACAACAAUUUCGCACCUCACUGCAAAUCACCCGAAGCCAAGCCAAGGUCAUUUUCGCGAUGCUCAUCGUUGCCCAUUAGCACCAAUUGAAGUUUGGACAGACGAGAUCAGAUACUUAACUUUCAACAUUGCUCAACUAUUGAUCUUGCGCAAAUAUUUGCAAUAGCUUUCCUCACAAGCUUACCCAAGGCAGAGCAUGACGAAGACAAUAUUCCCAAGUGGCGAUAUAGAUGGGACAUGCAAAAUGAUUCAGGACAAUAUAAGCUGCUUCAGGAUCUGCUGCGAAGUUAAACUCAGAACACAUUGUCACAUUCCCUC